rnacentral:lncRNA from 1 species
UCCAAUUCCAAAUAAACUUCUUUCUCAUUACAGCACAGCCUCUCUGAGCAGGAGCUGGCUAGAAAGGAUCCAUUCCCCAGGCUGCCAAGUGAAACAGAUAAGAUGCUUUAGACAGAUAUGAAUAAGGACCAAGCAGCAUCCCAAUCCUCUUCCUGGACAACUGGUUAGAAUUUAUUAGCCAUCCUUGCAAAUUUGGUCUCAUGGCAAGAAAAGGCCUUCUUACAUUCUUUCUCUCCUUUGAACUCUAGGCUCAUAGUGAUCAUGGAGGGGAAGGCAAGGCCAACUCUUAAUGGUCUUCAAAUGAAUUAAAGGCUAUGUUAGCAAGGCCAGUCUCGAUUACUCAUAAUGUCAUCAACAACACUAUAUCAUUAACUGAGGGAACAGACUAUCCACUGAAUUAGAAAUCAGAAUUUUUAGUUGGCAGGAAUCUUAAAGGGAAUUAAUCUUCCACAUAGUGGAACAAAAUUCCCUCUAUCAUAACCCUGGCCAAUGGUCAUCACUUUACUGAAACAGUUUGUCAUUGUUGAACAACUCAAGUGAUCAGAAUUCUUAGAUUAAACUAGUCUGCAUCCUUAAAAUUUCUAUUUGAAUUUUACCUUAUGAAUCAAAACAAGGAGAAAGUGUAUAAACCUUUGUAUAAGGCUUUCAUAUAAACAUUCCCAUGGACUUCAUGCAACAUCCUCUUUGAGGAUUAGUUUGCAAAGCCUAUGGGCUAAAUAGUGGUUACAUUUUUGUGUUCCAUCAUGAGCAGCAAGCAAACAAAAUUUGAGAACCUAGGCUACAUAAAUGAAAACACAAAUCUAAAAUAAUACAUAUAUCCUGAUAUAUAGAAGCGACAUGAUUUUUUUUUUAAUUUUAAAUAAUUAAGUCAUUGACCCAUGACACCUGGAAGUGGUUACACAACAUUAGGGGCAAGCAGUGGAUGAGAUAAUAUUAGCUUAUUUAUUCAGUUAGUUACUUCAGUGAAUAUAUAUAUAUAUAUAUAAAUUUUUUUUUUUUUCUUUUUGCUGAAAAUCUCAGGUAACCACAUGUCCUAGAAUUUCAGGGUUGGAAGAGGCCUUUGACCUCAUGUAAUCAAACAAGAUCACACAACUAGUUAAUGGGGGAGGUGUGAAAAGGUUAUGUUGUGCUACUAUUGUUGCCUCAGAAACAAGUUAUACCUACAUAUCUUGAAUUAUGCGAAAACCAUCCACUUUCACUGCAGUUAAAUCAUGCUCAUCCUCAGUUCCCAGUGGUUAUAAGCAUUUUAAUUGUCUAAAUUUUGUAUUUUCUCUAGCACCUGGUACAGGGCUUUCCCUAUAGUAGGUGCCUAACAAAUGUUUGUUGAAUUAAUAAAUUUUAAAGGUGGGAACAAUUUAUUUGGGGG